GUCUGCAAUUCGACUACGUGAAGUCGGAGUCGCUAGUAAUCGCAGAUCAGCAACGCUGCGGUGAAUACGUUCCCGGGCCUUGUACACACCGCCCGUCACACCACGAGAGUUUGUAACACCCGAAGCCGGUGGAGUAACCUUUUAGGAGCUAGCCGUCGAAGGUGGGACAAAUGAUUGGGGUGAAGUCGUAACAAGGUAGCCGUAUCGGAAGGUGCGGCUGGAUCACCUCCUU
rnacentral:rRNA from 1 species